AGUGAACGCUGGCGGUAGGCCUAACACAUGCAAGUCGAACGGCAGCACAGUAAGAGCUUGCUCUUACGGGUGGCGAGUGGCGGACGGGUGAGGAAUACAUCGGAAUCUACUUUUUCGUGGGGGAUAACGUAGGGAAACUUACGCUAAUACCGCAUAUGACCUACGGGUGAAAGCAGGGGAUCUUCGGACCUUGCGCGAUUGAAUGAGCCGAUGUCGGAUUAGCUAGUUGGCGGGGUAAAGGCCCCCCAAGGCGACGACCCGUAGCUGGUCUGAGAGGAUGAUCAGCCACACUGGAACUGAGACACGGUCCAGACUCCUACGGGAGGCAGCAGUGGGGAAUAUUGGACAAUGGGGGCAACCCUGAUCCAGCCAUACCGCGUGGGUGAAGAAGGCCUUCGGGUUGUAAAGCCCUUUUGUUGGGAAAGAAAAGCAGCAGGUUAAUACCCCGCUGUUCUGACGGUACCCAAAGAAUAAGCACCGCCUAACUUCGU
rnacentral:rRNA from 1 species